rnacentral:rRNA from 1 species
ACACGGACCAAGGAGUGCAACAUGCGUGCGAGUCUUUGGGUGACAAACCCGUCGGCGCAAUGAAAGUGAAGGCAGGCGUUGGUCUGCUUAGGCGAGAGCUUCCUCCGGGAGCGCAUCGUCGACCGAUCCCAGGCUACGCUGUGGCGGGAUUUGAGUAAGAGCGUGCCUGUUGCGACCCGAAAGAUGGUGAACUAUGCCUGAAUAGGGUGAAGCCAGAGGAAACUCUGGUGGAAGCUCGUAGCGAUUCUGACGUGCAAAUCGAUCGUCAAAUUUGGGUAUAGGGGCGAAAGACUAAUCGAACCAUCUAGUAGCUGGUUCCCUCCGAAGUUUCCCUCAGGAUAGCUGGAGCCCGGUGCAGUUUUAUCAGGUAAAGCGAAUGAUUAGAGGUCUUGGGGUUGAAACAACCUCAACCUAUUCUCAAACUUUAAAUGGGUAAGAAGCUCGGCUUGCUUAAUUGAAGUCGGGCAUUGAAUGCCGGGGCUCUUAGUGGGCCAUUUUUGGUAAGCAGAACUGGCGAUGUGGGAUGAACCAAAUGCUGGGUUAAGGUGCCGGAAUCAACGCUCAUCAGAUCCCAUGAAAGGUGUUGGUUGAUCCAGACAGCAGGACGGUGGCCAUGGAAGUCGGAAUCCGCUAAGGAGUGUGUAACAACU